UGCUUAUUCUAGAAAAAUCCUUUCUUGGGCACCAAGUUCACGUGAUAAGAGAGAGUCCAAAACUGGAAGGGAUAAAAAGGGGGAUUUUUAGAAAAAAAAAACAGAGAGGGAGGCGGCGAGAUUAGCAGCGAAAAUACCCUUAGCCGCCGCAGACCGUCUUCUACUCCCUCACGUUCUCUCCAUGGAAAUAAACUCUUGAAAAUCAGCCCCUUAAACCAUCUAAAAAUCUCCCAAGAAGUGCAGCAAAAAACAGUUAUGAACAGCUCCAAAAACGACCUCAAAUCUGUCCCAGAACCAGCAGCAAAACACCUCCGAAAACCAGUCAAAACCCGCUCCAAACCCAGCCGAAGAACAAAAAAACAGCUCCCUCUUCGCACAAAAACAGCAGCUCCAAAGUCAAGUUCGAGAUCACCAGAAGCAAUUUCGAUCAGAGGUUCCGAUCGUGGUUCGCUUUUCCAAUCCCGGCUCCUGUUUGUACUACCGUUGCUAUAAUUGAAAGGGUGUCGCACCUUGAGGUUUGGAUCCACUUACCAGAGCUUGAGCAUGACAGACGCCCUAGGACCAUCCCAGUCAGGACUGUUGCCUUCAGAAGCUGUUUGAGGAGACUUUUUAUAUUUUUAAGUCUGUUUCCAUGUUUUAUUUUACUUUCUUGUCUUGUCCAGUAGUAUUGAGUCUUUUAGGUGAUGUCAGAGUCUGUCAUAGUCUAGCUGAGUCUGUCGAGUCUUUUGUCAUCGUACUUCCCAUUUGUAUUUGAAAACCAAAAAAAAAGUUAUAAAUGAAAAAUCCAAAAAGCUUUUUGCUCUUUAGUU